rnacentral:lncRNA from 1 species
AGAAGAAGAAGGCUGGCACCCCACUAGGGAAGAGUUUGAUGGGGGAUUCUCAUCUGGGCACCACACAGUUUAUAGGAACCCAGGGCGGACUUGCCUGGAUCCCGAAUGGGCUGUGGGGACUCUGGGGACAGGUCAAGAGCACACAACUGUCCUGGAGAAGGACACAGAGGGUGAUGUGACCAGCCAGGCAGUGCUCACCCUCCAUCCCCAACCCACCCAAGUGCCCCGCGCCCGCUUCUCGGAUGAGAAGGGGGUUGCUGGGGGAGGGGUCUGAGACCUCACAGCCUCCAAGGUCCCAGGCUGGUCCCCGGCGUGAGGAGGGAAACUGCAGAUGUGGAUUUGACCAAUUGAAUCCUGACCUCCCAGAGCUCAGGAAAAUGCUCUCUGGAGGAGGACUCUGUGUGACAAUGCCCAUCUCCCGGUAUCUCUUGGUGCCUCGAGGAAACUGUUUGCUCUUCUGUGAACAGAAUCCAGGCCAAGGAAGUAAAGGGAGAACGGCAGCCCCUCCUGAGGCUGUGAUUAAGGACUUCAUGGAGAGAAACACAUCGCUCCUGGGACACCAGCCCUGAGGAAGCACCAGCUCUGGGACCUGCAGGGCUCCACUUGACCUCUUCUGCUUAAUUCCAGGGUGACCUUCAGAGAGUGGACUCCAAGCAGGAGCUCACAGCAAGAGCUCCAAGCACCGCUAAUGGUUCACCCCCUGGAAACCGUCUCUGUUUAGACCUGGGCUUCUAAUAAAUUAAUUUUAAGAUGGCAGUACAAGUUUGAAGAGGGCACCUUAGAAGGCAUUUGCAGCCAUGAAGGUUGACUCCGUGGUACAUGUAACAUUACGUGAGCUGGAGGACAGCCUGACUCCUCUUUACCUUUCAGCUGGAUAAUAGGAGCUAACAUUCAUCUUUCCAAGUAAGAGGACCAAGUGUGCUCCCAAUGGUAGGAAUUCCACAGACAGCAGCAGUGUGCAGCCCACGGCGUGAAUUCAGGUGUCCAAUAUCACCUUCAGAAGCAUGUGAGUGAAGGGAUGGACAUGAAUGUGAGAGAGAGAGAGAGAGAAAGAGAGAGAAAGAAAGAGAAAGAGACAGACAGAGAGAGAAGAGGGAGCGAGAGAGAGAGAUUGAGAUUCACCCCUGUUAUGGAAAAUGUCUAGAAUAGAGUUUCCCAAUGCCUUAUUUUUGUCUGACAUUUCAAAAAGAUUAGUGUGUGGGUGUCAGGUAUUAAUAUUGAUCUUCAUUCAUUCCUUUGGGUAAACAGCUGCUUGAACACAG